rnacentral:rRNA from 1 species
CUCGCCGGAGGCCAUUGCUAUUGGGAUCCGAUUUAGCCAUGCUAGUCGCACGAGUUCAGACUCGUGGCGAAUAGCUCAGUAACACGUAGCCAAACUACCCUUCGGAACACAAUACCCUCGGGAAACUGAGGCUAAUAGUGUAUAUCGUACCACCACUGGAAUGAGUGGUACGCCAAACGCUCCGGCGCCGAAGGAUGUGGCUGCGGCCGAUUAGGUAGACGGUGGGGUAACGGCCCACCGUGCCAAUAAUCGGUAUGGGUCAUGAGAGUGAGAACCCAGAGACGGAAUCUGAGACAAGAUUCCGGGCCCUACGGGGCGCAGCAGGCGCGAAACCUUUACACUGCACGACAGUGCGAUAGGGGGAUCCCAAGUGCACAGGCAUAGCGCCUGUGCUUUUCGGCACCCUAAGGCGGUGCCAGAAUAAGGGCUGGGCAAGACCGGUGCCAGCCGCCGCGGUAAUACCGGCAGCCCAAGUGAUGGCCGAUCUUAUUGGGCCUAAAGCGUCCGUAGCUGGCCGCGCAAGUCCAUCGGGAAAUCCACCUGCUCAACAGGUGGGCGCCCGGUAGAAACUGCGUGGCUUGGGACCGGAAGGCGCGACGGGUACGUCCGGGGUAGGAGUGAAAUCCCGUAAUCCUGGACGGACCGCCGAUGGCGAAAGCACGUCGCGAGAACGGAUCCGACAGUGAGGGACGAAAGCCAGGGUCUCGAACCGGAUUAGAUACCCGGGUAGUCCUGGCCGUAAACAAUGUCUGCUAGGUGUGGCUCCCACUACGAGUGGGUGCUGUGCCGUAGGGAAGCCGCUAAGCAGACCGCCUGGGAAGUACGUCCGCAAGGAUGAAACUUAAAGGAAUUGGCGGGGGAGCACUACAACCGGAGGAGCCUGCGGUUUAAUUGUCUA